rnacentral:rRNA from 1 species
UACGUAGGGUGCGAGCGUUAAUCGGAAUUACUGGGCGUAAAGCGUGCGCAGGCGGUUCGUUAAGUUCGUUGUGAAAGCCCCGGGCUCAACCUGGGAACUGCAAUGGGACUGAUUUGCUAGAGUUCGGGAGAGGAGAGUGGAAUUCCCAGUGUAGAGGUGAAAUUCGUAGAUAUUGGGAAGAACACCGGUGGCGAAGGCGGCUCUCGUGGA